rnacentral:tRNA from 1 species
GGGCCCGUAGCUUAGCCAGGGCGUGUUGCCCCGCGUAUGGCUCAUAACCGGGAGGUCCCGGGUUCGAAUCCCGGCGGGCCCACCA